rnacentral:rRNA from 1 species
UACGGAGGAUCCGAGCGUUAUCCGGAAUCAUUGGGUUUAAAGGGUCCGUAGGCUGUUUAAUAAGUCAGUGGUGAAAUCUGGUCGCUCAACGAUCAAAUUGCCAUUGAUACUGUUAGACUUGAAUAAUUUGGAAGUAACUAGAAUAUGUAGUGUAGCGGUGAAAUGCUUAGAUAUUACAUGGAAUACCGAUUGCGAAAGCAGGUUACUACAAAUUCAUUGACGCUGAUGGACGAAAGCGUGGGUAGCGAACAGG